AAUAUUUUUCAAUAUUUAGGUACUAAGUGUUUGGAUUGUGUCUGUGUUGUGAUGGCACAUAUAUUGUUGAUAGCAUUGAUGGAAAACGAAAGCCUGAAGAGGGAAUUGGCAAUAAACCGAAAAUUUUUAGGACAGGCAGUGAGCCACUUAAUCUACCCGACGAGGAGUUCAGAAAAAAAAUUAGGCUCACCCGACUACAAUUUAGCAGGUUGUGCGAAUAAGCAGCUGAUUUAAAGAUUCUUGCUGCUGUUGCCUUUUAUGGGAAUGGAAUGUACUUACCAGAAAAAAAUUGUGGCCUAGUAUCACCUAACUAUACAGGCCUCUCGCAU